rnacentral:rRNA from 1 species
AUUGAACGCUGGCGGCAGGCUUAACACAUGCAAGUCGAGCGAGCGGCGGACGGGUGAGUAAUGUCUGGGAAACUGCCUGAUGGAGGGGGAUAACUACUGAAACGGUAGCUAAUACCGCAUACCAUUAGAGGUGACCAGAUGGGAUUAGACAGUAGGUGGGGUAAUGGCUCACCUAGGCCACGAUUCCUAGCGGGGCUGAGAGGAUGACCAGCCACCCUAGAACUGAGCCACGGUCCAGACCCCUACGGUAGGCAGCAGUGGGGAAUAUUGUACAAUGGGCGCAAGCCUGAUGCGGCCAUGCCGCGUGUGGGGAGAAGUCCUUCGGGUUUUAAAGCACUUUCAGCUAUAAGUCGUUACUCGCAGAAGAAGCACCGGCUAACUCCGUGCCAGCAGCCGCGGUAAUAC